GUGUCUGAAUGCCAGUGUAUGAAUGCCAGUGUGUGUAUGCCAGUGUAUGUGUGUGUGUAUGCUGGUGUGUGUAUGCCAGUGUCUGAAUGCCAGUGUCUGAAUGCCAGUGUAUGUGUGUGCCAGUGUGUGUAUGCCAGUGUAUGUGUGUAUGAAUGCCAGUGUGUGUAUGCCAGUGUAUGUGUGUGUGUAUGCUGGUGUAUGAAUGCCAGUGUAUGUGUGUGUAUGCCCGUGUCUGAAUGCCAGUGUGUGUCUGAAUGCCAGUGUAUGAAUGCCAGUGUGUGUAUGCCAGUGUAUGUGUGUGUGUAUGCUGGUGUAUGAAUGCCAGUGUAUGUGUGUCUGAAUGCCAGUGUAUGAAUGCCAGUGUGUGUAUGCCAGUGUAUGUGUGUGUGUAUGCUGGUGUAUGAAUGCCAGUGUAUGUGUGUGUAUGCCAGUGUAUGAAUGCCAGUGUAUGUGUGUGUAUGCCAGUGUAUGAAUGCCAGUGUGUGUAUGCCAGUGUAUAUGUGUGUGUAUGCUGGUGUAUGAAUGCCAGUGUAUGUGUGUG